CCUACGGGAGGCAGCAGUGAGGAAUAUUGGUCAAUGGGCGCGAGCCUGAACCAGCCAAGUCGCGUGAGGGAAGACGGUCCUAUGGAUUGUAAACCUCUUUUGUCGGGGAGCAAAAGACGCCACGCGUGGCGUUCCGAGAGUACCCGAAGAAAAAGCAUCGGCUAACUCCGUGCCAGCAGCCGCGGUAAUACGGAGGAUGCGAGCGUUAUCCGGAUUUAUUGGGUUUAAAGGGUGCGUAGGCGGAAGGUAAAGGCCGCGGUAAAAGUGAGAGGCUCAACCUCUUCGAGCCGUUGAAACUGGUUUUCUUGAGAGAGUGAGAGGUAUGCGGAAUGCGUGGUGUAGCGGUGAAAUGCAUAGAUAUCACGCAGAACUCCGAUUGCGAAGGCAGCAUACCGGCGCUCAACUGACGCUGAUGCACGAAAGUGUGGGUAUCGAACAGGAUUAGAUACCCUUGUAGUC
rnacentral:rRNA from 1 species